rnacentral:rRNA from 1 species
UUAGGAAUCUUCCACAAUGGGCGAAAGCCUGAUGGAGCGACGCCGCGUGAGGGAUGAAGGCCUUAGGGUUGUAAACCUCUAAAAGAGGGACGAUAAUGACGGUACCUCUUGAAUAGCACCGGCUAACUCCGUGCCAGCAGCCGCGGUAAUACGGAGGGUGCAAGCGUUAUCCGGAAUCACUGGGCGUAAAGGGCGCGUAGGCGGUCUGUUAAGUCCGAUGUUAAAUCCCGGGGCUCAACCCCGGAUAAGCGUUGGAUACUGGCAGGCUAGACGGUUGGAGAGGCGAGUGGAAUUACCAGUGUAGCGGUGGAAUGCGUAGAUACUGGUAGGAGCACCCAUUGCGAAGGCAGCUCGCUGGACAACACGUGACGCUGAGGCGCGAAAGUGUGGGGAGCAAACC